GUGCUGGCUUCAGUAGCACCUACGCUAAAAUUGCAACGAUACAGAGAAGAUUAGCUUGGCCCCUGCGCAAGGAUGACACGCAAAUUCUUGAAGCAUUCCGUAUUUUU
ensembl:snRNA U6 U6 spliceosomal RNA